rnacentral:tRNA from 1 species
GGGACACUAGUAAAAUUAUUACAUUAUCUUGUCAAGGCAAAAUUGCAGGUUAGACCCCUGCGUAUCCUA